UGGCUUCUGUUCAGAAAAAAAAAGGGAGAGAGGGAGAGAGAGAGCUCUGGGGGAGAGGUCGUCGGUCGGUUGCCGGAGCACCGUGCCGGCCGCCGUCUGGUUCGCCGCCGGCAGUCUUGGACGGUGGUUUCCGAUGACCGGGAAAGGUGAAAAUUCUUCUGGAAGUUCUCUUCGACGCGAUCUUUCCAGAUUCGGUGUCCUUUUUACCGGAAACAGCCCUGAUCGACGUAGAUCGGGGCUCAAAGUUUCGGUCUCUCUUUUUUUCUUUUUUUUUUUUUCUUUGAAUCUGCUGAUCUCUCUCUUUUUUUUUUUCAGGUGGCUUUCUGGCGCUGGGUUCCCCGUUCCAGGGGACUGUUGUUUUUUUUUUUUUGUGUGUUUUUGCAGAAUUUUUUUUACAGAAGCUGCCUUCUUCUUUUCUUUUUUUUUUCGUUCCUCUUUUUAGUCUAGUUUACAAGCUCUAUUUAUAGAGCUUGUUGGGAUUCAAAUCUCAGAUUUUCUAGGAUUCGAAUCUCAUUUUUCAACUGAAAAAUCAUACCUACCGUCCGUGAUUGGUGGUUUGUCGGGAGGUUGAUCGGGUAGUUGGUCGGACCAGUUCGGCGCCGUACCAACCCCUUGACUUUUGUCUUAUUUUCGUUUCUUUUGUUUGUUUAUUUUUUGUUUUUUUGUUUGUUUUGUUAAAUAUUAUUAUUAUUAAAAUAAAACAGUAGAUCCGGACAAAAUCGGUGUCUACAAAUUUAAUUAUAUUUAUAUGAUUAAAUUUACAUUAAACAUUUCAUAUUUUAUUUUACCUGACGAGGGAUACACACUAUUAAAUUAUAAUAGAAGUCAUCCGAAUAAUUGAGUGAUAUGUUUUUAUUUUCAUAUAACAAUAUCACCAAUGUGGCAAAUCCAACUAAAGCUAUUUUUCUAUAGAUUCAUUACUAUCACACUCGUCAUUGUCAAUCUCCUGUAUUAUAGGAAUGACGUUAUCUUAUCUUAAUAGAAAUGAUUUUAAAUAAAUAAUACUAACUAAUAAAUAUUUACUUGUUAAUUGGUACAUGAAAAUUACGGAACUAUUAAAUAAUUCUUCUUGUUCCUUUUACCUAUUUAAUAGGAUUUUAUUAACAGAUCACUUAGACGGCCUAGUCAAUCUUUAAAGAAAGAAAACAGAGGCAUGAUAUUAGCCCAUCUAGUAGGGAUCAUUGUGAAUUUGUUGGAUGCUGGUGCGGAGUCAGAAUUGAAGGAACAGAAUGAUGUUGUGGGUUUAUUUGCAUGCAUGGAUUUCCCUGAAACUAUGCAUUAUGGUUUCCAGCACAUGUUAGCCUACACUGUUAGACUAUAUAUCUCCAAGAAUUCAUUAUGUUUCUUUGUGCUUUAUGGCUUUUUCAUUUCAAUGUUUCAAUUCACCACCUUUACAGUCUUAAUUUUUUUUGUUUUUUAAACAUUCAAUUUGCAGGCUACAUCUUUUAGGGGAGAUGCGAAUGUUCCUAAACUUUGCCAGCUGAAGAAUUUCUUGAGCCUCCUCAUCAGCCAUUCUGAUUCACAGAAGAUGGAGGAGAUUCAAUGUGGAGAAACUGAUGACAACGACGGUAUGUGCUACAUCUGUUAUGCUUGUGAAGCAGAUACACAGUUUGCACCAUGUUCCCACAGGUCUUGCUAUGUUUGCAUAACUAGGCAUCUUUUAAAUUCUCAAAGAUGUUUCUCGUGCAUUGCCAAUGUCUUGGAAGUCAUCAAAACCAUAGAAAAACAGUUCAAAGGCAAUUAAGAAUAUUAUUUUUGAGGGCUUGUCAAAUAAUGUGGUAGCGCAAGCAAAAUGGAAACGAAAAUGGAGAAAAAAGAAAGCGUAAAAGUCCAGUAAUCCAAAUGUUUUGUUGUUAAUAAAAUAACUAUUUAACGGUAUAUAAAAUUAUAAUAAAAUAAGAUAAAAAGGAUAUUAUGAAUAAGAUUAAAUUAAAUAAUAUUAUCAUAUUUUGUGUUUGAUAUAUAUAAAGAUUAAUAUAUAAUAAUUUAUUUAUUAAUCAAAAUUAUCUUUUUUUAAAAUUUAUAUAAUUUAAAAUAUUAAUGUAACUUUUAAGGGUAUAUGUAAUCCUAUCAUUUUGUUUAGCUACAAAUUAACAUAAUAUAAAAUGAUUAUUAUACUAUCUUAUCAAUCAUAUUCUAUGUAUUAAAUAUGCUUAAAGGCAUUUUAUUCUAUAAAUAUGAUAUGUAUAUGGCAAAGGAAAAUCUUUAGUCUCACUCUCUUUUUGAUUCAUGGUCACGUUUAAAGGUGAGAAAAAAAUCAAGAAAACCAAAAAUUGAUUUAAAACUAUAGUAUUUGGUUAGGUUCGAAAUGAUUUUUUUUAUUCGAUUUAAAUUAAGAUUAAAUAUUAAAUGUAUAUAUUAAGUUCAGAUCUAAUUUCGAAUCAGAAUAAUAAAAAUAAUUAUUUUAUAUAUAAAUCUAUUUAAAUAUAUUAAAAAACCUAUUAAAAUAAUAUAUAUAUAUAAUACAAAAAAAAUUAAGUUUUAAAAACUUAAAAAUCGAACCGAACUAAACUCAUAGAAUUAAGUUUGAAUCGAAUUGACUUAAAGAAAAAAUCAAUUCAAAUUUAAAUCUAAUUUUAAAAAUUCAUAAUAUUAUAUAUUAUAAAAAAAAUAUUAAAUCGAAUUCAAUCCAAUUCUAACCAUUACCAACCCUAGUCACAUUUUAUAAGAAAUAAGUUCUAUUGUUGUUCUAAUUAUUCAUUAUCACAAGUGGCAUAGAUCUUUUUAGUAUUUGACUCCCAUGGUAUGUGUACAUAUCCUUUGUUCAAAGAGUAAAAUGCCAAGUGCGUGAGACCACUCAUAUUUGUUGGCGACCAUAUUCAUAAAUCAUACUAGGAGCUAAGCAUUUCUUGGUCUCCGGGAGCUAAGCUAAAAGUAGCCAUUAAAACAGAUUGGAAGGGAAAAAAAUCUUUUGCAACCUUUUUUAAAUUGACGAUCAAACUUGAAAACACUGUCAAAUAAUCAAUGGAUCAGUAGUCACUUUACAAGAAAAUUUUCAAGAAAAAGAAAUGUGAUAACUACCCCAAAAUCACAAGGCUGAAAACCAAUUGAUGAGGAAUGAAAAUGAAGAGAAAAAAAAUCAACAAUGCGGUCAAGGAAUGACAAAAAUGAAUUCCAAGACUGAAUGUACAAAAUUUCAAAGGGAUAUUGUACAGAGAUCCUCAAAUACUUGUCUGAUGUUAGGCCUCCCAUUUACAGGAAGAAUACACCUUAGUGAUAUGGCAAGCAAAUCUUCCAUGGCUUUUGUGUGUUCUUCCCCACUAGCAAUGUCUCUGUCAACACAGUCCAUUCCCCGUCCUUCUUGAUCACAUAAUCGAACCCAAUCUGUCAGAUCCACUGCUCCUGAUUGACCUGAUAUUAUGUCACCAGCGCUUCUUCUUGUUAACAAUUCCAUCAGGAUAACUCCGAAAGCAUAGACAUCAGCCUUAAAUGAUGGGACUGGUUUAGAUGCAGAAGCAAGUUCGGGCGCACGAUAUCCAAGGGCCCCCAGAUUCAAUAUCUGCUCUGCAAUGCCAG
rnacentral:lncRNA from 1 species